GCACAUUUGACACUUCGGGGAGGAAGACCAGAGGUCACACUGCCCGGUCUCGAGAAUUUCACGCAAGACCAGCUAUUCUUUCUGUCGUUUGCUACCGCAUGGUGUGAAAACGAAGACGCUGCACGGUCGCGUCCUUUAAACCCACACCCACGUAGCAGAUACAGAGUCAAUGUACCACUGAAAAACAUGGAAGAGUUCUCUGCCGCCUUCCGCUGCCCUAAAGGCUCUCCUAUGCGACUUCCAGAUGAAGAAAGAUGCGUAAUGUGGUGAUGCUUAGAGCAUAUGCAUCAUAAAUUCAG